UAAAAUUAUAAAUGAGCUCUUAAAUUAUUACAAGCAAAUAAAUAAAUUAUGCUACAUAUUCGAUAAGGCAGAGAAACUCACAAACAUUUCAAUUAAUUUUUUUACGUACACUCGCAAUAUCUGAUUUACCGGAAAAUAAUAAAAUGUUUUUGUGUUCUGGUAUAAUCGGGAUAGAAUACUUUUUAUGAGCCAGGAUUUGACGUUUCUUGCUUUGAGUAUGUUAUUAAUCAAAAAACUACGAUGGAUUAGAAGCAUAUAUUUUGAAUACGCGAUGAAAGCCAUUGGUAGAAUAAAGAUAAAGACAGAUAUAAGUCUUUACAUGACGUGCAAGCAUACCAUAUAACCUUUGGUGUGGAGCUGGGCUUCUGCAUACGUAUUUGGAUAUCGUUUCAAUAUUCGAUAAUAAUAAAUAUUUGAAAAAUAAA